CAAGGAGCUAGGCCCCUAGAGAGGACACUCAGGGAUGCUUGCCAAGAAAGCAAGUGAACAGCAGGUUGGAAAAUCUGAAAACAAACUUGUCAACAAGGUUAAGGCAGGGAAACAGUCAAGAAAAGGUCAAUAUCGCCUUCCAGUUGUUAGAACCCCAUUUCACCUUGCAAGGAAAAUGUUGAAAAACUUCACGUUAAGCUGCCUGAGGCCGUGGACAACAGCUGGGGCAAACAAGAGACGAACCAAAAAGCUUAGAAGGAGAAGCUAGGGCAUGAGAAGUGCACAGGGACUUUGAAAAGCUCUGAGGUGUUCCUGAGACUCUGGAAGGCCACACACAUGCCAGGGCUGUGCACGUGCUCAGGAAAGACCUGAGAAGGCCUGAGGCCUCACCUCUGACUGACCUUGAGGCUCUGCACAAGCAGGAAGAUUGGUGGCAGUGGUGUGACUGAAAGAGACUUCCGGUGGCAUUUGGGGACAAUGAGAAACACAGUGGUGGUACCUACAAACUCCCUUCUGAAUUCACUGUCUUUCUCCCCAUUUCCGAGGGCUGUGG
rnacentral:lncRNA from 1 species